rfam:Paenibacillus macerans strain 8244 genomic scaffold scaffold1, whole genome shotgun sequence.
GAGAAAUCAAAGCCGAAUUCCCUGCGCCGGGGAAACGGGGGAACCACUUUGGGUGAAUUGAUCUCGUAAGCGAGGGAUCAUAGGGAACCUUCAACCGAAUCCUUAAGCUAACCUCGUAGGCAUUGGAAGGAGCAUAA